UUCUAGCCCCGAUGGCAGUGAAAAUCCUAUAAUUGCGAGGUAAAAACUGUUCAACUGAGAUGAUUUAUACAAUUCCUCGCAAUAACAGAUUGUAACGUACAGCGGGACGGGUC
rnacentral:sRNA from 1 species